CCAACGCAGCGUUUGGGAAGUGAGAUAGGGUUUAGAGAUUGUGACGGUUCAAGUUCCACGAACUACAACUGCUUCUUCUCGGUUCUCACCCUCUCAACGAUGCCGCUCGUAAUCUCCUCCCUCUCCGCCUGCUUCCGGUUCAAAUUUCGCCAAGAUCCGCCUCAGCGCUUCUUUAUGAACUUCGUCUCAAUGUCGUCGAUUCAAAUCCUAACCUCCUACUCCGAUUCGUCUUCGUCCUCCUAUCUUCAUCGUUUCGAACACGCCACUCAUGACCUUCGUAUCUCUGCCGUAAUUGCGAUUUCGCCUUGUUCGCGGUUCUCAACACUUAGGCAAACAAAAUCUGCGGAAAAAGAAGUAGAAGAGAUAAGAUUUACCUAUCAGAAGCCAACUCCGACGGUUCUUGAGAGACGUUGA